AGAUUGAACGCUGGCGGCAGGCCUAACACAUGCAAGUCGAGCGGUAGAGAGGUGCUUGCACCUCUUGAGAGCGGCGGACGGGUGAGUAAUGCCUAGGAAUCUGCCUAGUGGUGGGGGAUAACGUUCGGAAACGGACGCUAAUACCGCAUACGUCCUACGGGAGAAAGCGGGGGACCUUCGGGCCUCGCGCCAUUAGAUGAGCCUAGGUCGGAUUAGCUAGUUGGUGAGGUAAUGGCUCACCAAGGCGACGAUCCGUAACUGGUCUGAGAGGAUGAUCAGUCACACUGGAACUGAGACACGGUCCAGACUCAUACGGAGCAGCAGUGGGAAUAUUGGACAAUGGGCGAAAGCCUGAUCCAGCCAUGCCGCGUGUGUGAAGAAGGUCUUCGGAUUGUAAAGCACUUUAAGUUGGAGAAGGUUGUAACUUAAUACGUUGCAGCUUUGACGUUACGACAGAAUAAGCACGGCUAACUUCGUGCCAG
rnacentral:rRNA from 1 species